rnacentral:rRNA from 1 species
GACGUAGGGCGCGAGCGUUGUCCGGAUUUAUUGGGCGUAAAGAGCUCGUAGGCGGCUUGUCGCGUCGACUGUGAAAACCCGCGGCUCAACUGCGGGCCUGCAGCCGAUACGGGCAGGCUAGAGUUCGGUAGGGGAGACUGGAAUUCCUGGUGUAGCGGUGAAAUGCGUAGAUAUCUGGAGGAACACCGGUGGCGAAGGCGGCAUCCUGGACCGGCAUUGACGCUGAGGCGCGAAAGCUAGGGGAGCAAACGGG